UCUUAUGCUAUCCAAGCCCGCGAAUCUCCAAUAUCUUUUGCUGAAUUACAUGACAAGCUGUUAAGCAUGGAGGCUCAGAUUACUGCUCGUGCGCCGGCCUCCUCCGCCGUAUCUGAUUUGGCUCCGUCGGCUGCCUUCGCCGCCGGACAGCAGCCAGUCCGUCACCGCUACGGUAGCCGUGGGCGCGGCCGUAGCAGCCGCGGGUCAGUCUCCGGUCGCAGUGGUUACUCCAGCAAUAGCCAAUCUCGCGGGUACAAUGGGAAGUGCCAACUCUGCAGUGAAUUUGGCCACUCCGCGCGCCGCUGCCCAUCCUAUCCCGUCUCCGGCGC
rnacentral:lncRNA from 1 species